rnacentral:rRNA from 1 species
GACGAACGCUGGCGGCGUGCUUAACACAUGCAAGUCGAACGGAAAGGCCCUGCUUUUGUUGGGUGCUCGAGUGGCGAACGGGUGAGUAACACGUGAGUAUCCUGCCCUUGACUUUGGGAUAACUUCAGGAAACUGGGGCUAAUACCGGAUAGGAGCUCCUGCUGCAUGGUGGGGGUUGGAAAGUUUCGGCGGUUGGGGAUGGACUCGCGGCUUAUCAGCUUGUUGGUGGGGUAGUGGCUUACCAAGGCUUUGACGGGUAGCCGGCCUGAGAGGGGGACCGGCCACCAUGGGACUGAGAGACGGCGCAGACGGCUACGGGAGGCAGUAGUCGGGAAUAUUGCACAAUGGGCGGAAGUGUGAUGCAGCAACGUUGCGUGCGGGAUGACGGCCUUCGGGUGGUAAACCGCUGUCGCCUGUGACGAAGCGUGAGUGACGGUAAUGGGUAAAGAAGCACCGGCUAACUACGUG